rnacentral:rRNA from 1 species
GAUGAACGCUGGCGGCGUGCCUAAUACAUGCAAGUCGAGCGAACAGACGAGGAGCUUGCUCCUCUGACGUUAGCGGCGGACGGGUGAGUAACACGUGGAUAACCUACCUAUAAGACUGGGAUAACUUCGGGAAACCGGAGCUAAUACCGGAUAAUAUUUUGAACCGCAUGGUUCAAUAGUGAAAGACGGUUUUGCUGUCACUUAUAGAUGGAUCCGCGCCGCAUUAGCUAGUUGGUAAGGUAACGGCUUACCAAGGCGACGAUGCGUAGCCGACCUGAGAGGGUGAUCGGCCACACUGGAACUGAGACACGGUCCAGACUCCUACGGGAGGCAGCAGUAGGGAAUCUUCCGCAAAGGGCGAAAGCCUGACGGAGCAACGCCGCGUGAGUGAUGAAGGUCUUCGGAUCGUAAAACUCUGUUAUUAGGGAAGAACAAAUGUGUAAGUAACUAUGCACGUCUUGACGGUACCUAAUCAGAAAGCCACGGCUAACUACGUG